GGCCCCCAUAGCGCUUCAGCCACGCGUGUACCUCCGCUGUCGGCUACCGGCCGCGUGCCGCAUGUGAGGAGUCGCUCCAAGAAACGGCUCGUGAGUGUGGGGCUCGGUUCCCUCUCCUCCAGUUCUCCACCACGCGCGGUCCAGUCACCUGCCGCCGCCCCGACUCCACCGGAGCCCCAACUGCUGCCGCCGGAUACAUCUGGUCGGAGUACCAGUAGGUCCGCCGGAAACACCGAGUCCCGGUGCCUCUGGCCAUGGAGCAAGGGAGUCUGGUAAAGGAGCUAUUUUACCAAGGCAACGGGCCUCCGGGGCUCGGAGAGGCCAGGAUCCUCCUUCGAUCUAAGCAAACACAUUCCACCUUCCAGAUCAAGGUGAUUGUGUUGAUUCUGCUGCCUUUUCCAAGCCAUGGAGUCAUGCCCGAGGAAAGAGUCAGCAGAACAGGAACGUGUACCUGUACUUCUACUGAAAAUUAACGACACUGCUCCUCAAAGAAAGACGGUUAUUAUACUACUGCACAACUCUUACAAAUGCAAGGAAUGGUUGUGUCCACUGCUUCAGGCACUGAACUCAUCUUGGAGGAGUGGGAAAACUAUACCUUUCAUUUUUACACGCUAAAUACAUCAUAGAGAAGAUGACAAGAUGUUAGCAGCAGCAACCAACAAGCAAGGAGCAAGCAAAGCAUUAUAUAUCAGAUUCAUCAUUCAUAUAUGUAAAAUGUAAUGUAAUAGGCAGAACAUAUCACAAGUUCACAACUUGAAUGAGCAAUCAAAGCAAACUAGCAAAGUAGCAAACAAGCAAUGUAAUAGGUAGAACAUAUCACAA